GACGAACGCUGGCGGCGUGCUUAACACAUGCAAGUCGAACGCUGAAGCUCAGCUUUUGUUGGGUGGAUGAGUGGCGAACGGGUGAGUAACACGUGAGUAACCUGCCCCCUUCUUUGGGAUAACGCCCGGAAACGGGUGCUAAUACUGGAUAUUCACUGGUCUUCGCCUGGGGGUUGGUGGAAAGGGUUUUUCUGGUGGGGGAUGGGCUCGCGGCCUAUCGGCUUGUUGGUGGGGUGAUGGCCUACCAAGGCUUUGACGGGUAGCCGGCCUGAGAGGGUGACCGGUAACAUUGGGACGGAGAUACGGCCCAGACGCCUCCGGGGGGGAGCAGUGGGGAAUAUUGCACAAAGGGCGCAAGACUGAUGCAGCGUCGCCGAGUGAGGGAUGGGGGCCUUCGGGUUGUGAACCUCUUGCGCUCAAGGUCAAGCCGCAACAAUGGUUGUGGUGAGGGUAGUGGGUAAAGAAGCGCCGGCUAACUACGUG
rnacentral:rRNA from 1 species